rnacentral:misc_RNA from 1 species
CACCUGAAAAAUAACAAGUCUUGUACUUCC